rnacentral:rRNA from 1 species
UACGUAGGCAGCAAGCGUUGUUCGGAGUUACUGGGCGUAAAGGGUGUGUAGGCGGCCUUCUAAGUUUGGUGUGAAAUCUCCCGGCUCAACCGGGAGGGUGCGCCGAAGACUGGGGGGCUAGAGUAUGGGAUGGGAGAGUGGAAUUCCUGGUGUAGCGGUGAAAUGCGUAGAUAUCAGGAGGAACACCUGCGGUGUAGACGGCUCUCUGGACCAUAACUGACGCUGAGACACGAAAGCGUGGGGAGCAAACAGG